rnacentral:rRNA from 1 species
UGGGGAAUAUUGCACAAUGGGCGCAAGCCUGAUGCAGCAACGCCGCGUGGAGGAAGACGGUUUUCGGAUUGUAAACUCCUGUUCUUAGUGAAGAAAAAUGACGGUAGCUAAGGAGCAAGCCACGGCUAACUACGUGCCAGCAGCCGCGGUAAUACGUAGGUGGCAAGCGUUGUCCGGAAUUACUGGGUGUAAAGGGAGCGCAGGCGGGGGAGCAAGUCAGCUGUGAAAUCUAUGGGCUUAACCCAUAAACUGCAGCUGAAACUGUUCUUCUUGAGUGAAGUAGAGGUUGGCGGAAUUCCGAGUGUAGCGGUGAAAUGCGUAGAUAUUGGGAGGAACAUCUGUGGCGAAGGCGGUUUACUGGACGACAACUGACGCUGAGACACGAAAGCGUGGGGAGCAAACAGGAUUAGAUACCCUGGUAGU